AGCUCCAAUAGCGUAUAUUAAAGUUGUUGCGGUAAAAAGCUCGUAGUUGGAUUUCUUUCGAGGGUGAACGGUCCAUACCACGUAUGCGCAUCUGUCUCAGCCUUGGAAUCCUCUCGAAAGACGUUUCUGCGCUUGAUUGCGUGGAGCGGAUCUCGGGACUUUUACUUUGAGGAAAUUGGAGUGUUCACGGCAGGCUAUCGCCAGAACAUAUUAGCAUGGAAUAAUACUAUAGGAUCUUGAUUCUAUUUUGUUGGUUUCUAGGAUUAAGAUAAUGAUUAAUAGGGACAAUUGGGGGCAUUCGUAUCAACAUGUCAGAGGUGGAAUUCUUGGAUUAUGUUGCGACGAACUACUGCGAAAGCAUUUGCCAAGGAUGUUUUCA
rnacentral:rRNA from 1 species